rnacentral:rRNA from 1 species
GGGUCAGUAGGUUGGUCGUGCCACCGGUACGUACUGGUCUCACUGAUUCCUCCUCCCUGAAGAACCGUAAUGCCAUUAAUUUGGUGUUGCGGGGAAACAGGACUGUUACUUUGAAAAAAUUAGAGUGUUUAAAGCAAGCUAACGCUUGAAUGCAUUAGCAUGGAAUAAUGAAAUAGGACGAUCGAUCCUAUUUUGUUGGUUUCUAGGAUUGACGU